rnacentral:rRNA from 1 species
UGCAAGUCGAGCGGCAGCGCGGGGGCAACCCUGGCGGCGAGCGGCGAACGGGUGAGUAAUGUAUCGGAACGUACCCAGUCGUGGGGGAUAACUAUCCGAAAGGAUAGCUAAUACCGCAUACGACCUGAGGGUGAAAGCGGGGGACCGUAAGGCCUCGCGCGAUUGGAGCGGCCGAUAUCGGAUUAGCUAGUUGGUGAGGUAAAGGCUCACCAAGGCGACGAUCCGUAGCUGGUCUGAGAGGACGACCAGCCACACUGGAACUGAGACACGGUCCAGACUCCUACGGGAGGCAGCAGUGGGGAAUUUUGGACAAUGGGGGCAACCCUGAUCCAGCCAUUCCACGUGAGUGAAGAAGGCCUUCGGGUUGUAAAGCUCUUUCAGCAGGAACGAAACGGUGGCCCCUAAUACGGGCUACUAAUGACGGUACCUGAAGAAGAAGCACCGGCUAACUACGUGCCAGCAGCCGCGGUAAUACGUAGGGUGCGAGCGUUAAUCGGAAUUACUGGGCGUAAAGCGUGCGCAGGCGGUUAUAUAAGACAGAUGUGAAAUCCCCGGGCUUAACCUGGGAACUGCGUUUGUGACUGUAUAACUCGAGUGUGGCAGAGGGGGGUGGAAUUCCACGUGUAGCAGUGAAAUGCGUAGAGAUGUGGAGGAACACCGAUGGCGAA